rnacentral:rRNA from 1 species
UACGUAGGGUGCAACCGUUGCUCGGAAUUAUUGGGCGUAAAGCGCACGUAGGCGGCUUGGCAAGUCGGAUGUGAAAUCCCUCGGCUCAACCAAGGAAGUGCAUCCGAAACUGCUGAGCUUGAGUACGAAAGAGGAUCGCGGAAUUCCCGGUGUAGAGGUGAAAUUCGUAGAUAUCAGGAGGAACACCGGUGGCGAAGGCGGUUACCUGGACAGAAACUGACGCUGAGGCGCGAAAGCUAGGGGAGCAAACAGG